rnacentral:rRNA from 1 species
GAUGAACGCUGGCGGCAUGCCUAACACAUGCAAGUCGAACGAGCUUUGUUUUUCAGAUUCUUCGGAUGACGAAGUUCAAAGCGAGUGGCGGACGGGUGAGUAACGCGUGAGGAACCUGCCUCAUUCCGGGGGAUACCAGUUGGAAACGACUGUUAAUACCGCAUAAGCGCACAGCGCCACAUGGCGCGGUGUGAAAAACUCCGGUGGAAUGAGAUGGCCUCGCGUCUGAUUAGCUUGUUGGCGGGGCAACGGCCCACCAAGGCGACGAUCAGUAGCCGGCCUGAGAGGGUGAACGGCCACAUUGGGACUGAGACACGGCCCAG